rnacentral:snoRNA from 1 species
UGCAGCUGUGUCAAAUUCAGUGCCUGCUCUACCUGUGGCAAGCACUGGCCCCAAAGGCUGCAACAGAAAACACUGUGACCCAUGGGCCCUGCUCCUCCCUCCCAGGUUCAGGGAUAGAUCUGGUCACAGACACCA